rnacentral:rRNA from 1 species
UACGUAGGAUGCGAGCGUUAAUCGGAAUUACUGGGCGUAAAGCGUGCGCAGGCGGUUUUGUAAGCCAGAUGUGAAAUCCCCGGGCUCAACCUGGGAAUGGCAUUUGGGACUGCAGGGCUUGAGUGCGGCAGAGGAGACUGGAAUUCCUGGUGUAGCAGUGAAAUGCGUAGAUAUCAGGAGGAAUACCGGUGGCGAAGGCGGGUCUCUGGGCCGAUACUGACGCUGAGGAGCGAAAGCGUGGGGAGCGAACAGG